rnacentral:tRNA from 1 species
GGGCCGGUGGCGGAAUGGCAGACGCUGCAGACUUAAAAUCUGCUGGGCGUAAGCUCGUGUGGGUUCAAGUCCCACCCGGCCUA